rnacentral:lncRNA from 1 species
ACAGUACGAAUAUUCUACGACCAAACGAAUAUUCCCCGACAAUAAUGAAUAUUUUAUAACCAGUUGCUUAUUUUGAAAUACUUGCGUAUUUUACUCAUAACUAUCAACAUUAAUCAAAUCAACCCUUACUAUUUCAAAAUAAUAAAUAGAGAAAAUUUCAUUUUAUUAAUAAAAAGUCGGAGUCUUACACCGUUAGUCAAUUUUAACGAUUAUUUCAAAAUUGUAAAGUACAAGCACCAGAUCUAAACAAUUUUCGAGUACAAUAACCGGUUUGUAAGUUUUUUCACUUUGGGUACCAAAUUGUAAGUCGGGUCCCAGUACAGGUAUCAAAAGUGUAUUUAACCCAAUUAACAUAAAACAAACAUUAAUCCAUCAACUAUUGGUAAAUUAACAUAAAACAAACAUUAAUUUUAUAAAGAGUUCCGCCUGCUUAUAACACGACGGCUGCGGCAUUCCGCCACCACUUUAGGUGGCCUCAGCCUUUCUAAGGCAGAGAAAGAAGUGCCGGAUAAUCAAAUAAUCCGUCAAGCGACACAUACUCGCCGCUGUUGUUCUUGUUAUUAUUAUUAUUGUUGGAAACGACAUCACCAAAUCCAAAAUCAAAUGAGUCAUAACCAGAGAUCUGUUCGUCUAAUCCCCAUAACUCACUAAUUUCGGACGAGUCCGACGCAACUCGGACUAACUCGGUCUCUAACUGCCUUUCCACCGAUGACCCCGACGGAGGGAGACCUAAUUCAUCAUUGGAAGCUUCAAAAAGGUACCCAAGAUCCGUUUGAGAAAACGCAGGAAACUGACGCCGAAUCCACAACAUUUACCGUCGCCGGCGAGGAACCAGAAAUCUCCUCUUCAAAACUCUUCAUAAACGAGUCGAGAUCCUGAGUAGCAGUACAAAGGUCAAAAGCAUCUAAGAUCUCUUUGAGUCUCUUCACCUCAGACGACCGUCGACUCCAGCAACAUAAUUACCAUCACCGGCCCAAGGCUCCUCUGAAUAUUGGAGAGAGAAUUGGAAACAGAAUCCGAAUCAGGCUUGGUUUUAUAAAGAUUGUUGUAUUCUUCUACCUCCUCGUAAUAGAUGUCCCAGACGCAUCGAACACAUCCGCUGCUGCAACAAUCUCCCGGUAAGGGCUUCUCCGGCGGCGGUGGAAUCGGUGAUCCCUCAUCUAUCUCUUAUUUUUUGCUAUUAAUAGCAGCAGUAUUCAAAAUCGUUGACGACAAUUCAGAUUGAAGCUUUUCGGCCAUGAUCGUAGGCGUGCUGUUGUUGUUGAGGCAAAAGAAUUUAGGAAAGUGAGAUGAAUAGGGAAGAAUUGAGAAUUGAUUGGUUGUGAUUCUCGGAUAGGUUAGAUAUCUCAUAUCAAAUUUGUUAUUUCAUCUUUGUUAUUCGACCAUUUUGCCUCACAUUUAAUCAAAUUUAUUUAUUUAAUGAUUAAAAAAUUAUAUUUUUUGUCACAUCAGCUUCUUAAGGUCCCAC